UCAGCUCGUGUCGUGAGAUGUUGGGUUAAGUCCCGCAACGAGCGCAACCCCUGUGGACAGUUGCCAGCACGUUAUGGUGGGGACUCUAUUCAGACUGCCCAGAUCAACUGGGAGGAAGGUGGGGACGACGUCAGGUCAGUAUGGCCCUUACGCCUUGGGCUGCACACGUACUACAAUGCCCAGCACAAUGAGAACCGAGA
rnacentral:rRNA from 1 species